rnacentral:misc_RNA from 1 species
GUCAUAAACGACGUUGUUGUUGUCGUCGUCGCGCGUACCAGAUGUAUUCUCAGUAUCCUUGUCAAGCGCAUGCCUGAAGAAAUAAAACUACCUCUCCCAGAAUAACCCACACUCAUCCAUCAUCCAUAACCCGGUUGUUUCACAAUUGAUAGGCGUUAAUAUGCUUUUCAUUCGACUACUUGUAAUUCUGCUAGCUGGCGUUAAUGCUGCAUUAGCAUUGCGCAGUUUUGCACGUGGCAGAAGCAAGGGUGGAAACCUAGGAUCGCCUGUUCUCUCUAAAGAUUACGUGCCAGUUGAGGAUCAGUGGUUUGAACAAUUUCUUGACCAUUUCAACCCAACCGACGCUAGAACAUGGAAACAGCGAUAUUUUACCAAUUCCGGAUUCUACAAGAAAGGAGGGCCAGUCUUCCUUAUGAUUGGCGGGGAAGGAACUGCUAAUCCAAAGUGGAUGGCAGAAGGAGAAUGGAUUGAAUAUGCAAAGCAAUACGGAGCCUUGUGUUUCCAAUUGGAACAUCGCUUCUAUGGCAAAAGCCACCCGACUGCCGAUUUGAGUGUAAAAAAUCUCAUGUAUCUGAGCUCUGAACAGGCACUGGCCGAUCUUGCUUAUUUCAUCGAAGGGAUGAAUCUCAGACAUCAGAUUCCUGCAGGAACCAAAUGGAUCACUUUUGGCGGAUCUUAUCCAGGUUCUCUGGCUGCUUGGUCUCGAGCCAAGUAUCCUCACCUUGUUCACGGAGCCAUGUCAGCCAGUGGACCCCUUUUGGCACAGAUUGAUUUUCAGCAAUAUUACGUUGUAGUCGAAGAUGCCUUGCGAACCCAUUCCCAGGCAUGCAUCGAUGCAGUCGUUACUGCCAAUAAACAAGUUCACAUAAUGUUGCGUCAUCCUCUUGGCCAGAAGGGACUAGCGGAAAAAUUCAAGUUUUGCGACCCUAUUGACCCCGGUCACACGAAAAACAAUGAUAUAGCAAAUAUGUAUGAAUCACUGGCAAGCAAUUUCGCUGAGGUAGUACAGUACAACAAGGAUAAUCGUAAAAGUUCAAAAACGGCCAACAUAACGAUUGACACGAUCUGUAACAUCCUGGUAGAUGAGAACAGAGGUACACCUGUUUCUCGUCUAGCUCAGGUUAGCAAUUUACUUCUCAAGGCAAACGAUGAGAAAUGUUUCGACUAUAAAUAUAACAAAAUGAUCAGUGAACUUCGGAAUGUCAGCUGGGCUGAUGAGGCAGCAGAAGGAGGUCGACAAUGGACUUAUCAAACCUGCACCGAAUUCGGAUUCUUCCAGACAUCGACUGCGCGACCUCAGCUUUUCAGCGAAACUUUUCCAGUAGAUUUCUUUGUUCAGCAGUGCACUGACAUAUUUGGACCAAGAUACAAUAUACAUCUCCUGCAAUCUGCGGUCGAACGUACCAAUACAAUUUACGGAGCUUUCGAUUUGGAUGUCAGCAACGUGGUAUUUGUCCAUGGAAGUAUUGACCCGUGGCAUGCUCUUGGCAAGAUAAAGUCGACCAACCCUCGGGCACCAGCUAUUUACAUAAACGGCACGGCCCACUGCGCCAAUAUGUAUCCUCAGUCGGAUAAUGAUCCACCACAAUUGACCGAGGCCCGGAAACGCAUUGGUCAACUGAUUGGUCAAUGGCUUAAGAACUGAAAGACUGAUUUAAAUGAUAUGUAUUGUGGACGAUAAUAACUCUAAAUCCAAGCCAAGCUUAUCGAUAUGAUACAAAACAAGAUAGUUAAUUGGCUCCCUCAAAGCAAGGCCAAGGUAUUCAUUUCGGAUUCCUCCAAUAUCCACGUUAGUUCAAAACCGUUUUGUUAGCUUGUGUACAACAUCAUUUGUUGCAAAAGAUUAUAAGAUUAAUGUAUUUGAUGAUUUCGUGGUGUCCUAUAAUUAAAAUUCAGUAUAACAUGUGUAAUUAAAUAUGUAUGUAUGUAUGUAUGUAUAUGCAUUUGAUCGUUGUAUACAAUUUUUUUUUUAAUUCUUUUCUUUUUUGGCAUCCCUUGUGACCAGCGUUGACAAUAUUACAAUAGCAUAGAACUCUGCGAUAAGAAUAAAAUGAAUCAUUGCGAUUAUUGUGAUCAUAGUUUACUUGAUCAAUUAAUUAUUAUUUACAUCAAUACAUCAG